GGCACGGUGGCGCAGUGGUUAGCUCUACUAUCUCACAGAAAGAGGGUUGUAGGUUCGAAUCUGGCCAGGGGCC